UCACUUUGGCAGUGAAUAUACUAAAAUUGGAAUAACACAGAGAUUAGCAUAGCCCCUGUGCAAGGAUGACAUGCAAAUUUGUGAAGCAUUCCACGUUUUU
ensembl:snRNA U6 U6 spliceosomal RNA